UACUUAUCCAUCCACGUGAAACUGUCAAAAUUUUCAAAAUCAUCAACUAGCAGAGCGUCAAAAUUGCAGAAAAGGGACACAAGGAAGAAGAAGAUACAAUCGAGCUCGGUAGCACAAAAUGAUGGAGCAGGACUGGGGGCUAGAAAUCCUGUUGGGAGCAGAGGGUGCAGGGAUGUCAAAGGCUUUGAUUCUGACUGGUGUUCUACUAGUUAAUGUAGCAAAUUCUGAAUCUUGACUUCUUUCCCAGGGUCCAUCCAUGGAUUUGACAGGAAUAGCUUGGAUGUGGGCUGGGGUUUUCAGAAUCAACAACCCUGUAGCAGAAAAUGGGAGCGGGCGGGUAAGAAAGUUUCCCACUUUCAAUUGGUGCACAAUUGCAAGGAAGAUUGUACACCUCCAUUCUUGCUCAUCAUGUUUCAGACCAUUGGGGCUGCACUUUGACUAAGUAGAAUAGAACACAUCUCUCGCCCUUCCUCCCUCAUGUAUACCACUGGUCAGUUAAAUAAUACAAGCAGCCUCAAGAAGAUGAUUUUGCUAGUUAUGAUUCAUAACUUCCAUUCCAGGAUCACCAGGAUCUAGCAUCCAGAGAAAAUAAAAAAUAAAAAAUAAAAAAGGUAAGCUGCA
rnacentral:lncRNA from 1 species